GAUCACCGAAGUUAAGCAACGUCGAGCCUGCUUAGUACUUAGAUGAGUGACAGCUUGGGAAUACCAGGU